rnacentral:sRNA from 10 species
AAGGGAAAAUAGGUGGAAAUUCAAAAAUCAAGUGAAAAAAGGUGGUGAGUCAAUUGUUUCGGGUAAGAGACUGCACCCGAGGGCGGAAGAUAGGAGUAUUUCUACUCCUAAUACUGCUCAGGGAAUUUCGUAGUUAGCUGACUUGAACAAAGACCUUCAUUUGGACUCAAAUCGGUAAAAACUGUAGGUUUCCAGCUUCCGAUGCAUUUUGGUUAGAUUUGGGCCCA